AGCAGUGGUAUCACACAUGGUAGGACACACUGAGGAAAUCUUCGUGUUUGCCUGCAAAACUUGUCAUUGGGACAGUCUGUUGGAAUAAUUACUCCUUGUUAUUAUGCAAAUGUUUUUAUCAAGGACAAUUCUUUUAAAGCUUUGUUAUUUUAAAUUGUCAGUUGACAUUUUGGGUAAGACAAAUCUUCAUUCUUGUCUCCAGAACUAAGGUAAAUUGUGAAGCAAAAGAGUCUCAUAAUUGUACCAGAACUGGGCAUAUACAUGUCUCCUGCAACACCAUGACUUAUAAUGGAAUUCUGUGAAGGAUUGACCUGAAGUUUUAUUCUUGAGUAGUGAAGACAAACUGUUGAGAGAUUCAAGAUUGGGAGUUUCAAGAUUUACUUCUAAUACCUAAUAUGCCUGAAGCUUCCCUUCAUAUGUCAUGUGCUGCUGGCAGAGCUGAGAGCUGGGGGAAGAGUGAUUUUACAGCACAGUGACAUUAUCCCAGACAUUCUCCAUUCUCCUGGAACUGUGUGUUAGGAAAAAUAGGUGGGUGACACUGCAGUGCAGUUUCCCUUCCUUGCUGAGGAAUAUGCUGGCCUGUUCGAAAUGUUGGAACUGGAUGAUGCUUCAGUCAUGCCAUGGUGUGAGAACACUCACUGUACUCAGACCGAAUCAUCCUGCCCUGA